GGGCUGGGGCUCAGUGGUAGAGCGCUUUCUUCGUAUGUAUAAGGCACUGGGUUCGAUACUCAGCACCACA
rnacentral:tRNA from 1 species